rnacentral:rRNA from 1 species
UUCCGGUUUGAACUCAGAUCAUGUGCGAAAAAAAGGUCGAACAGACCUUUUAUUCCUAAUUUCUGCUUUAGGAAGAAUUCGCAAUUCAACAUCGAGGUCGCAAACAAUUAUUUUAAUAUGGGCUUUAAUAAUUAUUACGCUGUUAUCCCUAGAGUACCUUUUUCACCUAGUUUUAUUAAGAUCAGUUUAGUUCAAAAUACU